GAGUUCAGACCAGCACCAGGACUGGUCUGAACUUUGGUCCUGGUGCUGGUCUGAACU
ensembl:miRNA gmo-mir-11276 gmo-mir-11276